AGCAAUAGCUUUCAGGUUCUAAAUAGGGUUGUCCUUUAGAUGGAAGAUGUGAGUCAAAGCCAAGGGCGCUCUCUCUGGAAGUCAGUGAGUAGCAGGGACCAGAGCGUAUUGCUGCAGUAUAGACUGAACGGAAGGAAACCACUGCCCAGGGGCCGGGGGAUGGCGCAUCUGUGUUCUAAACAUUGGACACUAUUGUUUAUUUUUAAAAUUACGGUCAAAAGAGCAAGUUGCUGAAGGAAGGGACAGGCGUCAAGACAGGAUCAUUGUGCACAAAUCCCGGGUGGUAAAAGCCCUUUCCCGAGACACAGUGGAGAGACCUUCAUGUGACUGACUUUAGAGAAGAUUGAUGGAGAUUAUAGGGCAUGUUUCCCAUGUGUGAGCUGCUUCCCAGAGUCCUCCCCUGCUGAUAUUUUAUUCCCUCUUCUGGAAUUGGAUAACAUAAUUAAAAUAAAAUCCCCAAAGCACACAGAGAGAUCUUCAGGAUAGCAUCUCCAAGCAUCUUCAUGGGCUGUGUUUUCCCUCAGAGGGAUUUCCCAGGCCCCUUGGUAUGACUGGUGUUUCAUACUUAUUGAUGUAUUUUCAUAGAUGUGUGUAAUCUGAGAAGGGCUGAUAACCUGACUUUUGUACUGCAGUAGAUACACGAGAGCAAUAACGCCGUGCCAACGUAGCUCCUACUAGCUAGCAUUAGCAGCGACUUUGUCCUAAAGCCAUGAAACGUUUGUGUGUUUAGUGAAAUCAUCUGAAUUUAGCUCAAAUCCCCGAGAGAUCCUAUCUGAGCACUCAGAGAGGCACUGUGAAACAUCGUGGUUAUAUACAAGGCAAUGCCUGUGUGGCUUCUGAGCAAUAACAGGCCAGGCCUGGCUUCCCUUCUUCCUCCCUUGGGUGAAGCAUCCACUACAGUUAUUUGCACUCUGGCCACUUUGGUGCUCACCCCUGUGGUGAUAUUUCACCUGAGGAAAAGUGGAACGUGUGAGCAGAUGAAGGUAAUGGGCCUGGCAGAUGGGAAAGCCUUGACUACAGAGGAAACAGCAAUGCCGGGGCUCUGCAAACUGCCUUAAACCCAACAGCGUGGAAGAUCUUCUCUCUUCAAGCAAUAGUCAGUCAGAAGCCUCAGACCCAUCCCCAACUCCUGCCACCACCACAUCCCUCCAUUCCCAACAAAUACACACACACACACACACACACACACACACUACAUACAGACAACACACUGCUGUGUGGCCAUUCCUGGGAUUGCUUCCCACAGCACGGUUCAUUGCAAGACGUGAUAUUGAAAAGGGAGAGAAGAGAAGUGGUGGGCGGGAGCUAGCUAGCUACCUUCAGAUCUUAGAGGGUGCAGCUCAUUCCCCUGGAUAAAGAUAUCCGUCUGUAGCUGGAUCUUUUGGUUAAUGUUGUGGACAAAGUGAUCUUUAUAAACACUGAUUCAUUUUCAUGAUCUCUCUCCCUUUCCCAUCUACCUUCGUUCUUUUUUUUUUUCUAUUUCUUAACUUACCUGUAUUCUCUUCUUUUUCUGUAGUUUGCUUUUAUGAGUGUGAUCUCUGCACUCCCUCACCCUAUAUCACACCAGAUUAAUGCCCAGACAACUGCUUGAUAGAAACAAGUUUCAAGGGGGAAUUCCAUAAUAAUCAAGAUGGUGACAGACAGGCAGGGCUCUCAGCGGAAUGGCGGAUGUGCUUAACAGUCAGGAUCCUACUGACAAGUGCUGACCAUUUCUACUGGGUAGAUGAAAGCAGGCAAAUCAGAUUACCUCGUCUUCCCCUCCUUCAGGUUAGCCUGGGUACCAGUAGCACGUCUCCUAGUGGCCGGCACCCUUGGACAGAGAUCCCCCAUGGACAAGAAAAUAGGAAGCAAAUCUCUUGGGUUUUAAAUAGCACAUUGAGGGAAAGAUGAACAUUUAGCUCCUGGAUCUCAUGAAGGAUUGGUUUUUAGCUAAGCCAGGGAUGGAUGGAGGAGAAACAACCCUGAGGGUCAAUGUCAAAACAUUCCCAUUGAGACCCCCAAUGCUCUGAGAAUGUUCACAGUAUACAUUAUGCCCUCUAGUGGGUCUUGCUAGGAAAAAAAAAAACCCAGUAUUUAUUUUAUGUAAUAUCGGUUACACACAAGAGUGUUCUUGUUUUGGGGGCAGAGAACUGUUCUGAGACCUGGACUGUGUUUGUGGAAGAUUCAAAGGAGCUUCAUGUAUUCAUUUUGCAACAGAAGGUUGGCAUAGUGAGGACUUACAAAUCUGUCCCUUCAGUAGGCAACCUUGGUCCUUAAUAUGUUCCAUGGUGUUCUGUAGAAAGGGAGAGGGUGUAUUUUUUUGCUGGUUAGGGAGUGUUUGGUGGGUCAGUGUGAUCAUUUUUUCCAAUGGGAUACAUUGACCUUAUAGCCCAAUUUUUUUCUUGUGCAAUAAAGAUGGAAACUAAUACUUCAUCUCUCAGAAUCCAUCAUUAGAGCUUCAUAGGUCUUUAUCCCAGGGCUGGACUAGGAUGUAGCCAAGUCUUAGCAGUUGGAGGAAACAUGCUCACUUGAUGGCUCAGUGGUAGCGUGGCUGGCUUCUCUCAGUCAGUUAUCACUACCAGAACGAGUAUCAUAUAAAGGCACCGAUAACAGCUGACCAGUAGAUGAGAGAGACUUGGUCAUGGAGCAUAGAACAAACUGAAUGCAUGAACAAGACAUCAUUCUGUGAUCUGUUAGGGCAAAGACUAACUGGUCUCAUUCUACAGCUCUUAAGUAUUUACCACAGAGGCCAGGUUAUACAAAAUCUACUGCUGUUCCGUUUUCUUAGCAAAUAAGAACGUACUGUGUUCUGUAAAGAAUUUUGUUAAUUAACUUUGCUGGGAAAGAUAAUGUUUAUGAUCCAGAGAGAGCAGAGAAGUCUUUGGGGGGUGUGGAUUUUGAUCCCAGCUUCUUUGGGUCUGAAGAGCAAUCCUCUCACCACUCCAACACUCCUGCCCUCAUGGAUACGUGCACAUGUUAACUUCAAGAGUCCACUGUCUUCCACGUGUAGCCUUAGAAAUGGCACUAACUAAACAAACUAAAAAUGGAGAAUGUAAACAACCAAAUCAGUCAUUUUCCUUGCGACUAAAAUAUAAACGGUAUCUCCUCUUUGGGCACCCAGAGAGAUCUUUGUUAAUUCACUUUGGUCAGUCAAAGCGAAGUGGUAGAAUUUUUUUUUUUUUACAUGUGAACUGUUCAUUUUAUUCUUGCUCAUGUGGGACCAACGGCCAGUAUAUCCCAGUAGAGAUGAAUUUCCCAGCCCUCAUUUGCCACCAUUUGUCCUCCGUGUCAUAGGACAAUAGCAGGGUGCCUACCUUUGCCUGCUAUUCUGCAUGACUGGACCCCCCCCC
rnacentral:lncRNA from 1 species